rnacentral:lncRNA from 1 species
GAUGGCACUAUUUGAUCGCGACAUAUCACUAGCUCCUUACUGAACUUAACUCCCAUAACUUCGUCCUCCUCGCGGCCAUAGCGAUUUUGAAAAAGUCAGUAAACAAGCAUACCGAGAAAGAUGUCAGAUGUUACGUUACAGUUUAGUUAACAAUCAAGAAAACUCACCAUUGGGGGUAGUCUUCUUGAAUACUUUGACGGCUACAACGUAGGCCAGAAACAAUAUUGGGAACAUUUGGCGCUGUCGUGUGUUUUUCUAAACGAACGAGUGAUUUAGCAGAGAAAUUUGUUUCCCGCCCCAGAAGUGACACAUUCUCAAGCGGUAGGCUCGGGUCUUCAUAUAGUCUCGUCGGGGCUUCCUCUCAUCUUGAAGCCAUACUACUAAUGAGAUUACUUUAUUAUAGACCUGAUUUAAGAGGAUUGCAAGUGACGCAAGGAGAAUUGCCAUAUACAUUAUUUUUGGCGCUGCUGCGCUUAAGGUAUAAACGUUCACUAAACACCGAUAAUGUUGUGACAUGGUAUUCGUAUAUCUGCUUUUGUAAAGCCACAUUCCUACGCGCGCAAACGUCACAAAACUACCAAGUGACUCACUUGCGAUUGUUUCUACGAAGGAAUAAUAAUAUAUACAGGUUUUUCUUCUAUCAGAUGAAGAAUAGAGAAACACUUCUCGUUUUCAGUCUUAAAUUUAUCUUUAUUUCGAUAAUAGAUGCUUACACGAUAUAAUACGGAGGUAUUCCUUUUAGUCAAAAUGAAAUCCCCUGAAUUUUCAAGCGAUCGCUAGUGUAUUUCCACCAUUCCUUUUAAAUGGUAAACGAUAUCUCUAACGCGAGUACCAAGUAGGUAUUAUACUUAGCACUAACAAUUAAACCCGCGUAUAUUUCUUUGUUAUUUCUUCCCACAUUUUCAUGUUCAUUAGUGAUAGACACGCACACGCACGCGCGCAUACACACACACACACACACACACACACACACACACACACACACGUAAUGUGCGUACGUAUAUUCUUUUAUGCGUCGAGUAUGAACACCAUCGGCGCAUAAUACACCCAAAAAUAUCGUGGUAACUGAGAGACACUUUCUUUAUUUUCUUUUGCGCAAUAUAAAAAAGGCAGUAGUUGAAUUUGAAUGCCCCUCGAAUUCGUACGAGAUAUCAUUUCCUCGAUCAUGAUCGUAGGCAUAGUUGAUCGAAGAUUAUUUUACAUUGUGCUUUCUUACUUGAGAACUUUUUAACACAUAUUUUUCUUCUGAUGCUCUUCUAAAUGCCUCUUAAUUCUCGGCGAACUUAAAAAUUUUCACACAUUUGUUGAGAACUGCACGCAGCCAUCGAGACCACCUCUUCUUACUCGCAAGAGUGUCAUUUCUUACUCGAGUAAAAAAAAGGAAAAAAACAUUGCGCGAAGAAUAUAUUAUUACAACGUAAUAAGAACCGCUACAAACUAGAAAAUAAUUUUUUUACGACGACAAUAACAGUAAAUAAUAAUAACUAGUAGUAAUCAUGAUAAACUUGUCUAAUAAUAGGCACAGUUAAAGAGUAUGGUAUAUAAUUGUGUAUUCAUUACUCAGCACUUUUUAUUACAACUACAGAAAUUCGUUGCUACCAGGGAACAGAAAUGCUAACGAGAUUUUAUGAAAUAUUUAUUCCAAAUACUUAUACUUCUCACAAUGCCUCCGUACAAUACGUACUAUAAUCUACACUAUUACCCCCCCCCCCCGACACACUUUUACAGCUGUCUUUUAACGUUUACAUAGUAAAUGAGAUCGUCUUCGUUUUACAAGAAUUUCCAAGAUCAAGAAUGAAAACAAAUGACUGCCAAUAAGAAUAAUUUUGUGACGAAAAAAUAAUUUUACGAUAAAUAUUUAUGAAAGAUGGCAAAUACACUUCUUGGCUAAGUAGAUCUUAAAAUUUUACGUGAAUUCAUUGCAACUUGCCAAAUCAGUCAAAAACAAUUUUAAUAUUAAUUCAACAAGUCCACUAAUAAUUCCACUAAAUAUAUAUAUAUAUCUUGUUGGAUUCUAGUUCAUAAAUAAUUUGUAGAACCCUUCAAUUUAUACAAUCAUACAUUCGAUUCUGUCAUUUUAUUCUUUGUGGAGCAGUUAGAGCUCGAGAAAGGCAAUCUUUAACCAUGUACAUUCCAUACACGGUAUCUCCUACCUCAAAAAUUCGCAAAAUGCAUGUUACACAUAUUUGCGCUAAUGUAUUUAGAGCACUGCCGUAUAUGUUUGAGCAAUAUCUAAACUGUCGCAACAUCAAGGCGAACGAAC